AUGGGUAGGAAGAGAAGUUCACCUAUGAAUGUGUUGUCUGAAUGGGUGAAGAAACAAUCUAUGAGGAUGAAGAUCUGUCUUGGUGCAAUGUUUGCACUUUUAGCUUUGGUGGCUUUGAAGCUUACCAUUCAUGAUCACAACCACUUCUUCAUUGGCUCAGAAAUCAUCCAUGCUUUGGGGAUCUUCGUCUUGAUUUACAAACUCAAAACCAAAAAGACUUGUUCUGGUACAUGCAUCUAUGUUUAUAUACCUGCACUGCAUGUCUAUUCCUAAUCUAAAUUAUAUCUCUCAUCUUUAUUUUUAUUUUAUUUAGGAAACCCAAAAGAAGUUUUUGUUGAUUUGUUUUGUCUGGUAUGUUGAAUUAUCAUUUUUUUUUAUUUACUUCUUUUAAAAAAAAAAAUAUCUUUUUAAUUUGUCAACAUAUUUUUUUAAAUUCUAUGUAGUUUGGUAGAAUCACAUAAAGUCCAUAAACUUUCAAUUGUUAAAUUUGACUAUUUAAAUUUUAGAUCCUAUUCAAAUAGAUUUUGUAUUUUUUGGACAAACAAAUUAUCCUUUUUAGUCUGACACAAUAACAAUUUAGUUCCAUGACCUUUUCAUUUCUUACUUUGACCCAGGUCAAUUCUUACAUUUUGAUCCAUGGAGUUUGAAGUAAAAUAACAUCAUUAGGUGUACUUUUAAUGGAAUCCUAACAAUUUCACUUUUAAUCCAAUCCAAAACUUGGAAGGUCAAAUGUAACAUCUAUACUAAUUUAAGGGACUUCUCUUAUUUAGACUGGACAUUUUUUGGUUUCACAAUAUCUUUACAGUCUAUGUUCAAGUAGAGACAAAAUUGAAAAAACAAAACUAUACCGGUAAAAUACAUCUUUAACUUCCACGUAUUACCUACAAAAUAUGAACAUUUUUCUGUUGGUUUUUUCAAAAUUCAAUCUGAACUACAAGUUGAAGUUGUCAUUCACCGUUUUUUUUUUUUUUUUUUUUUUUUUUUUUUUUAGUGGUUGUCGGGUUUGACUAAUUAUUUUACAGUUUUUUAUGAUUGGAAAAUAUAAUAAUUCAAAAUUAUAAUUAAUGUAAAUUAUUAACUUUUACCUAAAAAAAUAGAAGAGCCUUUAAGCACGCACUCAUGCACGCGCUUAGAGGCUAGUAUCAAUUAAAAGUAUGUGGACUAAAUAGUGAUCCGAUCAAAAUUGUAAAAGGUAAAUUAUAAUUUUCCAUUUUAUUUUUCUUCUCCCCCAAAUUUUUUUUUUAUUAUUUUCUUUAUAUUUUAUUGACUAAACAUCAUGUCUACAGAGGGCAUGCAUAUCUGGGAUUUAAGUUUAUAUCAAUGAUCAUUCCUUUUUUAGAUUUCUAAGGGAGAAAUAAAAGAGUGAUGAUCCAUGAAAAUUAGCUAUUAAUGUAAGUAGCACAGCUAGGAUCAGUCCUUUUUUAGUUUUCUAAGGGGGAAAUAAAAGAGUGAUUAUCCAUGAAAAUCAGCUAUUAAGUUAAGUAGCACAGCUAGGAUUUUAAUUUAGGGGAAAAUAUUAAAAGAUAAUUUAAAAUUUUAUUAAUUUAGAACUUAUCAAAAAGAAAAAUACAAUUAACAGAAAAAUAUAAACUAAUAUAAUUAACAAAAAUAACUAACAAUGAAACGAAACAAAAUUUUGUUAUUAUACAACAUAUUAUGCGGAUGCAAUUUGUAAUUUGUGAUAACUCGGUGGUAAUAACAUCUUUGUACUACAAGUUUCUAGUUCAAACCAUCUCAGGCCCUCCCCAUUCCCCUACCUAUAUAAAAAAAAUGGAUGUGUGUACAGCUUACCAAUUCAUGAAAAACAAUAUUUUAUAAUGCGACAUUGCAUAUGGUUAUGAGAAUUUGGGAUCUGGAAUUAGAACUUGAGGUCUCUAUUUCAAUUUAUUAUUUUCUUUCUUUAUACACCAAAAUCAACCCAAACUUUUUUUUUUCCAUAUCCUAUUUAGCACAUAUUGGGGGCCUGUUUGGUCGUGCCUUAGAACUUACUAUUUAAGCAGUUUUAUGGAAUAAUAAGAAAUUUUGUAAAUGGCUCAUGUUUGUGGUAUUAUGUAUUGAAAACAUGCUACCAUAUGUUGUUCUGCUAAUUUCAGAGAAUAGAAACUUGAAUGAUAGGAAAACAAAAAGCUUCAAUGAAAUUUUUUUCUAAAAUAGUUAGUGCAAAUUAUUUCAUAUUUUAUUCUUGUUUUUUCCUUUUUUGCCAUGUGACUCUUAACAACAACAUAAAAAUUGUUUUAAGGAGAGAAUUUAUUCUCUUUCCAUUGCAUUUCUUGAAGUCAUGUAAGGUUUCAAAUGUGACAAGCACGAAACUUUUUAUGUGUUGAGUUCAACCUAUUAAGUUUGAGUAACCUAUUAAAGUAUGGAUUCCAUUUGAUUGGAAGAAGAAGGAUAGGAAGGAAGCUCCAAUUGGAGCAUACGUUACACAGUGUAUUGGUAGUUUCAAUAAUCAUGUUUUGUUGCCUUGUUCAGGCCUUUCAUUAAAGACUCAAGAACUUACAGCUCUGUUCCUAGCUGUAAGAUUGUUCUGUAGUACUAUUAUGGAGGGUGACAUUCACACAAUUUUAGAUUUAACCACCCUAGUGUCAACAUUAUGGGUUAUAUACAUGAUCCGGUUCAAGUUGAAGUCAACCUACAUCAAGGAGCUUGACAACUUGCCCUUAUAUUAUGUGGUAACAACAUCUCAGCUUGUCCUGUUCUUUAUGUUGUAGAUUUAAACAUUUAGUCUAUAUUCAUUCCUUUGAAAUUUUCAUGAUUUACAUUCCUUAUCCUUGCUAUAAUAAGUAUUUUUUAGAGGAGAUAAGCAAAGAAAAAACAAUUAGAAUCACAGAAUUGCCUUUUUGCUUUUGAUUUAGUAUCAAGAUUAUUAAACAUACUGCUAGGAAAUUAUCUUAUGUGGUAAACAAUAAUUCCUGAUUCAUUUGUUUCUCCUUAACUAUUGCAAUGAAAGUAAAGCCAAGGAGACUACAUUUAUAAGAGCAUCAGACUACUUGUUUGGAAUGUCUACAUUGUGCAAUCUAUUGUAUUUUACAUGUUUGACCUUUUGUUGAAUGCUCAUCUUUUUAACUAAACGUAAUUAGCCACUGUAAAAUAUUACCUAACAGUUGAAAUUAGUGUGUGUUUAGAAUUCUGUCAAGGAUCUAGUAUGGGAUGGUAUAUUAAAAAAUUGUUUUUCCUUAGCUUUUUUUUUUUUUUUUUUUUUUUUUUUCCUUGUNUCAAGGAUCUAGUAUGGGAUGGUAUAUUUAAAAAUUGUUUUUCCUUAGCCUUUUUUUUUUUCUUUUUUUUUUUCUUUUUUUUGUGUAUUGCUCCCUUGUAUAUGUUGAAAGGAUGUAUGUUGUACCAUCGUAUGGAACAACAUAAGCAUUGAUGUCAAGUUAUAUAACCAUUCUUUCAAAAUGUCUUAUUAAUCUUUUGCAUGUUUUAUUGAUAUAUUGCAUUGAACACUCAUAAUGACUAUCAUUUAAUCUUAGAUAUUCAAAUAAAAAAAAAAAAAAUCAGAUAGCUCUUCUUUAAGCAUGUAUAAAGAAAGAUGAAUUUAGAAUGUUCUACUGAUUAUUCUAUGACAGGUAGUGCCUUGUGCUAUCCUUGCCAUACCUAUCCACCCUUUUACACCUCAUUUUCUCAUCACUCGAAUCUUUUGGGCAUUUGGUUUGUAUUUGGAAGCCGUUUCAGUGCUGCCUCAACUUCGUCUGAUGCAGAAUGCAAAGGUCUUAACUUCGUUCCUCUCUUUACAAUACACUCAACUGUUUAUGGAUUUGUAAGAAUUACUACUAAUUUGAUCCAUUCUAGCAUAUUUUUUCAGAUGAUUGAGCCAUUUACAGCCCAUUAUGUGUUUGCAUUGGGAGUUUCAAGAUUUUUGGCAUGCGCUCAUUGGAUAAUUAAGGUGAGACCUUGUAGGAUCACAUAAAGUGUUAGUAGUGUAUGUUUUGCAUAAGCAACUAAAUAUUCCUUAAUUUCACUAAUAACAUUCUUACUUUAUUCGAGUUUUGAAAAGUAUUUAAUGGGAAGAACACCAUGAAUUAUUGCCUGGACAAGCUAAAUGACAUCUUUACUAAUGUUGUUCCAACGAAAGAAAUAUAGAGAACAAAUCAUCUUUAAAAACAAACUAUAUCCUCAUGGCUUUGUGAAUCCAAUCUGGGUUUUUGUCCUCCCUAAUAUCCAAGUUUUAUAAAACAAAGACACUUCAUUGGUUUACAAUUGGACAUUUCAUAAAAUUUGUUUGAUUUAGAGUUCAACUUUACUGAUACAAUGUUUUAUAGUCAUAUAGUAUUUGCAAGUAUAUAGCUUCUUUUACUUCAGAGGGCAAUCUUAUUGUUGGCAUUGGAUUCUCUACUUAUUUUGCAAUGUAUACACUAUCAAAUGUUGGUUUUGAACAAACUACUCCAUUCUAUUUUUCCAUAAGGUUUCAACAUUUGUUAUGCUUAGGGACCCCAUAUUAGAAUUUUUUUUAUUUAACCCAAGGGUUUGUUCUGGUGGUUCCAAUGUCUCAUGAGAUCUACAAGGUCUUGAUUUAGAAAUCCUAUCCUACAUCUUAGGGUCACCCCCAAGGGAUUCCUUCCUAUAAUUACGUGGUGUGUGUAGGAUAAGGGGACUACACCCACCCAGGGUAAUAGUCAGAUACUUAGGGGCUCUGAAUACCCAUGCUAGCAAAAAAAAAAAGUACAUAUAUUAGCAUUGUUAAUUUAUCUUUAAGCUAUCCUCCACCACACUUGGAUUAAAGUUUAACUUCCAAGCACUAACUCUUGUGAUGCUCUCCUUGGGUAUGUGAAUAUAUAUCUCAACACUUGUUUAUUAAUCUUACUUCUCCCCCUCUGAGUCUAUGACUGCCCUACACCCUUGUGCAAUUGGUUCCAGAAAUUUGCACCAUGUCACUAAGAGCAUUACAGCUCAAUUGAUUUGUACCUCUUAAAGUUUCCAAAGUUUAGAUCCCCCUCUCAAUUUUAAUUAUUGAAUUAUAAAAAAAAAAAAAAAAUCAGUAACAGGAAUUUGCACCAUGUCAAAAUUCAGGCCAGUUAGCAUUCAAAACAAAAACAUAUUAUCUUAUUAGUUAUGAAUUAAGCCUUUGGAAACUUCAAGGUAACUAGAAUCAAUUCACAACACUUCAAUCUAGUCUGUGACAUUAGGCCUAUAUCAUCAUCCUUAGAAUAACAAGAAAUGGGACUAUCUAUGCUUAUCUAAAGUUAUUAGUGACAUGAACAUUGAUUAAUUUCUCACUUUUUGCUCCAUUUAUUAGUCUAUGCAAAGUCCUAUGUGCUGUGGAUCACAACACAUAGAAAGAUAAAGCAAAAAUUUUGGAAAAUUCACCACCUGUAUCAUUAUGUUGUGCCUUAAAAUUGUGGUAACAAAUACAACAUUUUUGCCAUUCGCAAGCAGAUUUAUGAGACCCGUGGGAGGUAUUUGUAUUUGAUUGGUAGCGGCUACAUCUGGUUCUCGGCUGCUUUCCUCUCAGAAUUAGUCCAAACAUUCAUCUUGGCUGACUUUUGUUACUAUUACAUCAAGAGGUAAGUCCCCUUCCAUAUGUAAUUUUUGUUAUCUACCUGUGUUGCCCUCCAACAUAUAUCUAAUUAUGUCACAUUGUCUAUGUCCCUCCUAUCUUUCAAUUUGCAGUUUCGUGCAAGGCCAACUUAUAAUGAGGAUGCCAGUUUAGAAAUCAGUCUUGGAGAUUGUAACAACGUACAUUUGGUUACCUACAUUGGCUUCUAAUUCAAGCACACAUUGAAAUGAAAGUGAAUGUUCGAAAUUUUGACCCUUACUAUCUUUGUCCUUCCCUGUUUUUUUCUUUCUCAUACUAUAAAAUUUACAAAGAUUAGGGUUACAUUUUAUAAGGCUUUCAUUCUUAUAUCUUAAUAAGUUGACCAUGCAUCAUAUUCCCUUACCCCCUUCUUUCUUUCUUUCUUUCAUUCAUUCUAUCUUUCUUCUUUUUUUGUGUGCAUAAUGAGCCCUCAUUUUAAGGAGUUCACAAAUUUCAUCAUAUAAAAUCUUAUGUGAUGUUAAGUUACAAUCAAAAUGGCCAAAAAAAGUUGUUUCAUAAAAGUUCUUCAUGCAUUUUGUUUUUUGUAUCAGCUUUUUUUUCUUUUUCUUUUUUAAAUUGAACAAAACUAGUUUUUUUCUUAAAAAUAAGCUAACUUUUAUCUUUUUGUCAUGCAUUUUGCAUUUAAGUUUUCAAAAAUUAUAUCUUUUGUCUCAUAGUUAGCAAAUAAAUUACCAAAAAGCUUGGGGAUACAAACAGACAACAGCUUUUUGGUUUAGCAUUUUGGCUUAUUUGUUUAUGCAUAGCUUUUUUAAAACCUUCAGGUACAAUUACACUUCAAAAAAUUUUCAACAAACAAGCAAAUAAGGGAUCAGCAAAAAAAUUCUUCUCCAUGGGCACAAAAGGAGUGAAUAAAAGUCUAUUAUAUCUAAGAUACAACCUUGGCAUGAGAUUUUAGUUUACAUUUACUGAACCAGUAAAGGUAGUCAUCACUUAUAAAUAUAGUUUUUAUUUUUAUUUUUUUAUAAAUUGUUAUAGGAAUUUGAACACUGGUUCUCCUAAUAAAAAAGAGCGGUCAAUCUUACUGAGCUAGGCUCUUGGCAUGAAUAUACUUAUCUUAGAUCAAGCUUUUUUUAUGUGACAAUCCUAAAUUUUCAUUCAAAUACGAUUGUAAACCAUUUCUAGAAAGAAAGGUAAUUAAAUUCAAAUUAAAAUAGGUUGGAUCAAUUUGCAAUUUGUUUAAGCUGAUAAUAAAUUAGUAAUGACUUCAGGGAUUUGGUUGUCUCAAAUCAUAUCAUAUUUUGGGGUUAGACUGAUUGGGCUAGACUUGAUAAAAAACUUUAUGCCAUUUUUUUGGGGUUGGGCUUGACUUUUAACCGAUUUUUCUUGCAUCAAAUUUCUACUCCCAUAAAAGAAGUGUGUUGGUCUUCCUUACUAAGAAGAAAAAAUUGUCAUGACUCAAAAUUAAAUAUGGCAGUUUAUCAUUCUGUAUAUCUCUCUUGACAUGCUUUUUGUGAUUUAUUUUCUUAGCCAUUAGAACACAACCCCCCCCCACCCCCCNNNNNNNNNNNNNNNNNNNNNNNNNNNNNNNNNNNNNNNNNNNNNNNNNNNNNNNNNNNNNNNNNNNNNNNNNNNNNNNNNNNNNNNNNNNNNNNNNNNNNNNNNNNNCCCCCCCCCCCCCACCCCCCCCAAAAAAAAAAAAAAAAAAAAAAAAAAACGGAAGAAGAAGGAUCCCUUACUGAGUGGUUAAGCUCACUCACUUCUUGCUCCACAUUUCAGAUAAGUGCAGUGGACCUUUGUAAGGAACCGAGUUGGUGAUUGUUAAGAGUUAUAUGAUUAGAGACUACACAAUAUUAAAAGAAUACGUUAUUUUAACCCUUUGCUAUGAUUUUUGAGAUUGUAAACUCAGUUACAUUCUUUAGAUGAUUAUGUAUUUGGAAGCCUUUAUUUGUCAUCUUUAUUUGUCACGUUCCAUAGUGUGAUGAAAUUUUUGUGAGAUUUAUUGUUUCUAGUAUUUGAAUGAUAGUUUUUCUCAAAAAAAAAAGAAAAAAAGAAAAAAGAAAAAGAAAGAUGUAAACUACAUAUUUGGUCCUUAAGCUUUACACUAUAUGUCAAUUAGGUCAUUGACUUUUUAAAUGUCUCAAUUUGGUACCUAACCUUUUAGUAUUGUAUCAAAAUGGUCUAUGUCGUUAAGUAUUGGAUCAGCAAUAUUGACAUGGCUAACGGUAAAAUUAAAAUAUUUUUUUAUGCCACAUAGAUUUUCACAUAAGCUGCCAUGUGGAACUAAUUUAAAAAAUCGAAGUUUUUCUAUUUCACUUUAACUCUCUCUUUGCCUCUUAUAUAUCCUUCUCUCUACGCUUACUGCACAGCCUCCAUGACCAAAGCUUACUCAAGGCUAAGCAAAUACAAAAAUACCCAUUCCAAGUCCAAAUCUAUUUUGAUGGAGCUCCUUUUGUCUCAUACCAUGUAACUUCUUGGCUCCUUCAAAGCUCCAAUGAUCGAACUCCAUGAAAGAUGUUGAUAAAAUAAAAGACAAUCUAUUCACACUGUAGAUGUGUAAUUUGUAUCCUUCAUUCUCUUUAAAUAAUUUUUAUUAAUAAAAAAAUUAUAUAUUAAAAAAAAAAAAAAACCCUUCACUUCUAUUCCAUCAAAUGGAAAAAUGAAAGAAGGGAUAGUAUUGGGAAACUUAAUUUUAGAAGAUAGAAAUAGAAUAGAAGUUAAAAUACCCAGACCUUUGCAAAAAUAAUUUGUUUUUGAUUUUGCAAAGCUAAGCUAAAAAUACCCAGACCUUUAUACCAAAACAAAAAAUUUUAGUCAGAUCACAUAGAACACUUACUCAUAUCCAUACCCAUUUACAAAUCAUCUUAGAAUCAGAAACAUCCAAACCUAGGAAUCCAUUUUGAAAAACAAACCAAAAUCCAAAUCAAAUCAUUGUAGAAUAUGGCUUGAAUUAGGAAUUCGACUCCUUGUUGGACUUGGAUAAGGAAUGAAUUUUAUUCCUUUUGGGCUACUGUUGUUUGAAAUUAUCAAGUUUUAUUAGAUUUGAGUUCUAUUUGAAAUAUGAGUGAUUCUCCUUUUGUGUGUGGAAAAGAAGUCUAGUCCUUCUUGGAUUUGGAUAAACUAGCUAACUCAAGUCUCCUAUAUAAGCAUAGUGCUACUACAAAAAAUUAGAGAGAAAGAGAAGAGAAUGUGUGUGUCUGUGAGAAAAAGGCUCUCUCUUUGUUUGGUUCUUUGAUAUUUGUGGGUUGCAAUUUGGAAUAAUGAGAGAAGUUUGUUACCGCUUGGUUUUGGUUUUGUGGUUUGGUGAUUUGCUCUCUCUUGGUGCAUUGCAAUUUUUGGAUUUGAUUUGUGGCUGUCUCUUUGGUAUAUGCACAAUUCGUAUUUGGUAUUUGGUAUUUGUAUUUGGUAUUUGUGAACUUUUAGUUCUUUGAUUCGUAUUUGGUUCUUUGGUUUUGUAUUUGUGAGAGAGAGUUAUUUGGGUGUAUUUGGGAUUUAGGUUUGUGAGAGUGUCUCUACACCAAUUUAUAUUAUCCCAAAUUUGCUAUAGUGAAAUUUGUUCGUCAUCGCCCGUGGAUGUAGGCUAUUGCUGAACCACAUAAAUCUUGGUGUUUUGUGUCUAUUUUCUUUUGGAUUAAUUUCCUUCGUUCCUAUUGUUAGUUUGAAGAUCUUUCACAAGCCUAAAAUAUUUUCACAAUCAAUCUUGGUAAUUUGAGCUUCUGCUAUUUUACAACAAUCAUACCAUCUAUAUGGCUUGCAAAAAUGAACAAUACCCACAAAUGCAAAGGCCUUCAUCCACUCGAAACAUACCCAUCUGAAAUCACCAAACCUAUCUCCUUUAGAUUCCCCUUACGCACAAUUCAAAGACAGAUAGAUGCUUAGAGCUUUGAUCUUGGUCGAUUGAUGAGAGAAAGCGUGCAAGAGUGAGAGAGUGGGAGGUUACAAAAGAGGGUUUGGAUUUGGCAACCACUGGUGUGAUGACGGUGGCAAGCGGCAGAGAAUAGUAGUGGCGUUGAAGGAGUUUAGAGAGUGAGUUUCGGUCAUGCCGUCAUGGAGGCUGAGCAUAGAAGAGAGAGAGUGAGUAUGAGUUAGAUAGAGAGACCGAGAGAGUUAGAGGGAGUGAAUUAGAAAAUUGUUGAUUUUUUUUUAAUUUUUUUUAUUAAUGCCACAUGAAAGCUUAUAAGGAAAUUGCCAUGGCAUAAAAGAUAAUAUAUUAGUUUUAUCGUUAGCUAUGUCAGCAUUUUCUAUCUAGCACUUAACGAUAGAGAUUAUUUUGACACGAUACCAAAAGGAUAGGAACGAAAUUGACACAUUUAAAAGGUCAAGGAUCAAAUUGACAUUUAGUGUAAAGGUUAAGGACCAAAUAUGUAGUUUUCCAAACAAAAAAUAGUAUUUGAAUGAUAGUUUUGAUUAUUUAUAUUAUGGGUAUUUAAUUUUGCAGCUUAAACAUGGUAAAUGGGAUGAGUCGAUUCAUUGGGUUACAGGACAUAAACUAGUCAUCUUCUAUAAGGAAAAACAUAAAGUAUUGAACCAUUAUAUAACCAAAGGGAAAAACAUAUUCAAGACACUAUACAAAUUAGGGGUGCCAAUUCGGGUUAGCAUGUCGAGGUAGAAGUAUUCGGUUAAAUGGCUCAACCCGAACCCGACCCAUUUAAUAAUCGUGUCAUGACCCUUUAACCUUAACAUGACCUAUUAAAGAAGCGGUUGACACAACACAACCCACCUAACACUCGUAAUAAAUGGGCCAUGUUGGGUUGACAAGAAUGUAACAUGGUCCAUUUCAACUUGCUUAAUAUUAAACAUGUUGAGUUGACACAUAUUCAAUCAAUUUAACUUGCUUCGAAAAAGAAGAAUGUGAUUAAUAUUGUUAUGAAUUUAAUAAACAACAAAUUUAAUACAAACUCAUAGCAUCAAAAUACAUAUUAAGCAUACAAUUUGGAAGUUAAUAAUAACAUCAAAUACUUAAAACACAUCAUCUAAAAGUUCAAAACAACAUUAGAGUAUUAAUAAUUAUUAAGCCCAUAAUGUAGUACCAUACAUCUAGAAAUAAGUUAUUUACAUCCUAGAAGAAGUGCAUAUAUUUCAACCCAAAUUCAAAAUAAUAUACCCACUAUCCACCCCACUAAAUUGGAACCCCCAUCGCCACCCAAAAUCAACCAACUACCAUCGACCAUCAUAAUCAUAACCCAAAAUCAACCAACCACCACGGGCUACAAUGACCAAACCCCAAAAUCAACCCAACCCCAAAACCAUCGCAACCCACCAAUAUUAGCCACCACAACCCAUCAAAAUCAACCCACAACCAAAAAAAAAAAAAAAAAAACCCACAACAGUAGCCCAAAAAAAUUAAUAGGAAGAGUGUGAGAUUGAUGACGUGGGUGAAGAAGAGGCUGAGAUGGUGGCGUGUGGCUAAGGAAGAGGGUGAGAUUGGUGGUGGUUAAGGAAGAGGCUGAGAGAGAAAGAGAGUAAGAGAGAAGAGAGCAGCAAACAGGGAGGGAGAGAGAUAGAGAGAGAGAGAGAUGUAUAUGUGGAGGAGAGAGAAAAGUUUAAUUAAAUAAUAAGAAAUAUUUUUAGCAUUUUUACUGUACAAUUUCAUUAGCAUAAUUAUAAUGUAGCAAAUGCCAAUUUAUUUGGCAUUUGACACAUUUCAUAAAGCCUGAUUUUUUGUGUUUCAUGGAUAUUUGAUGCCAAUGUUCUUUUUUUUUUUUGGAAAGGUUUGAUGCCAAUGUUCUAAAAUAAAUGCUAUGCCAAUUUUUUGUUAUUGGUCCUUAUAAGUGGACAAAAAAUUAAUUUAAGUUGUGAAUUCAAAUUGGAACUAAUAAUAACUUAUCAUAUGUGAUUUGUUAUGAAAGUAUUGUGAAAAUAUGAUGAACUUAACACUUCUCGUGCUCUAAACAAAAAUAAUUGUGAAAAUAUUGUGACUUAUCUGUUAUCAUUUUGUAAACAAAAAUAAUUGGGAAAAUGUUCACAUUUUUUUAAUAGUUUUCUGGAUAUUUUUUUAAUUAAAGAAACUUUAGAAAAUCAAAACCAGAAAACCCUCUAUGCUGUCGCUCUCAUUCUCUGUCUCAGUCGUCACUCUCUCAGUUAGACUCUCUCUCUCUCUCACUCUCUCUCUCAGACUCUCUCUCUCUCUCUCUCUCUCUCAUUAUCCUUCCCCUGCCACGACUCACAGUCAGGUACUCUAUUUCUAGUCGAUUUAGUGAUUUUUUUUUUCUCUCUUCUCAAUUCUACUCUCUCUCUCUCUCUCUCUCUCUCUGUGAUCGGUCUCUAUAUGUCUUUAUUCUCCACUUUCUCUCACUCCUUUAGGAUCUCUACUUUUAUCAAAAUCAAAACCUAACGAAAGAAGUCUGAGUUUUAGAUUGUUUGAUCUUUUUUUAUAUUAUUAUCUGGUAAUGGUGUUAAUAUAUAUGGUUUUAGAUUCUAUUACAUGGGUUUCCUUUAGAUUGUUUGUUUGCUCUGCUACUUUUUUUUUUUAUUAAAAAUUGUUGGGGUUUGGGUUUCUCAUGCUUUGUGUGGUUUUUUAUUAAUUUCUCUUUUUUUUUUUUUUAUUAUGUGCCUUUAUCUAUCUGUUUUAUAUAUAGACAGAAAUGGAAUUAAGCUAAAAAAUUUUGGUUCAAAAUUGGUCUUUUGUUGACUAGGAUUGUUCUAUGAGCAAUAUUCAAUAAUGGGUUUAUGUACUUGUGGAUGGUAGUGUGUGAUUAUUUGUGUCAAUAAAUAACAAUGUUGUAGAUUGGCUAGUGAGUGUUUUGUGCUUUCGUUUUGAUGUGUAAUCGCGUGUUUUAUUAGAAUGGAUAAUCUUUUUUUGGUGUCUCUUUGGUGUCUUCUACUGUGGUAACUGGUAAAUGUUUGAGAUUCACUUCAAAAGAUCAGGGAGUCAGUGACGGCCGUUUUGAUCUAAGUUAUACCUAAUUGUGUAGGAUAAUAUUACAUGGGAAUCAAAGGAGUUUACUUUUCAGUAAAAUAGUUUUAGUUGAAAGAGGAGCUUGUUCGAAUGCACAAUGUGUGUUUUGAACCAUUUCUAAGUAAUCACAUCUAAGAUACAAAAGAUAUAAGAACUCUAGAUAAAGAUGAUGUAGAGACUGCUGAUACGACGUACCCAUGGUAAAUUGGUAGUCAUUUACUCAUACAAAAAUCUUAAAAUAGAUUGCUUAAAAGCGAGAUUUGAGUGUUCAGCCUUAGAAAAUAAUUCUUUUGUUUAUAUGUCUCCAAAUUGUCCACAAUAAUUUAUUUUAAGGUUAUUUUUUGAUGCAGAGCCUACUCCUAUCCAAGAUAAUCAUGUUUCAGAGAGAGUAACUAAAUUGUCAAAAGCUGUUGAUGGAGAAGUGUACAAUGCUCCUAAAAAUGAACAAGCUUUGAUUGAAGAACAGGAAGUGUCGGUUGCUAAGGUAGUUGAUGAAGUUUCAGAUCAAUGGCAAAUAGUGGCUGAAACUAACUGUAAAAUGGCAGAUAAGUUUACCAUGAUCGAGAAUGUAUUUGAAGGAGUUCAUAGAUUAUGGACCCUCUAGUGACCAAUGUAGAGUUGUGGACCAUUUGCUAGUGUUGCGCAGGGAUGGGUUGGAUGAGUUAUGGUCAUUGAAUGAAGGAAGAGAAUAGUAGAUUUUGAGUUUUAGAACUAAUCCCAAUGGAGGGGGAAUUUGAAAACAAAAUUUGAAGCCCCUAAAUUGUAGCUAAAUUUCUUUUAUGAUUUGAAGAAUUUUCUUCUCAUGACAUCCAAACAAGGAAUUUUAUCUGAGAGAAUUUUAAACACGACAUAAUAAGGACUCUCUCUUAUUAUAGUGUCCUAAUUCAUUAUCAAUUAAGAUUUAUUUUUCUCCUAAAAUUUUUUGUUUUCCCUCUACGCUCUAAUUUGACGAAUACAACGCUAACUUCAUGAAGUUUUUGAAGAUCACGAGAAAGUCGAUGUAUAUAUUUUUCGAUUGUCAAACGUAAUAGGCCUUUUUGGAGGUAAAAUUGUAUCUCAAACAGUGACAUUAUAAUGACUAAUUAAAAUUUUAAUUAGAUCAUUAACUUUGCUACGUAUCUAUUUGUUAAUACCAUUAUUAGCAUGCAUCCUUCUUUUCUUGGAAAUAAAUGCAAAUCAAGAUCGAUUGACGAUUGGGAUGGGGAUUGGAAUGAUUCGGCAUCCUGUUAUUAACAAUUUUAAUUAUAAUGACUAAUUAAAAUUUUAAUUAGAUCAUUAACUUUGCUACGUAUCUAUUUGUUAAUAGCAUUAUUAGCAUGCAUCCUUCUUUUCUUGGAAAUAAAUGCAAAUCAAGAUCGAUUGAUGAUUGGGAUGGGGAUUGGAAUGAUUCGGCAUCCUGUUAUUAACAAUUUUAUUUCAUCUGAAUUUUUUUUUUUUUAAUACACAAUACACUAUAUGUAUAUUAGUACCCCUAAUCCCUAACACUUACUAAAUCCAUACAUAAAAAUAAAUAAAUAAAUAAAAAAUAAAAUAAAAUCAUUGAAUACUCUUUUUAAUACAAUUAUUACAACAAAUAAUGUGCAACCUGUACUUCAAAGAAUUUAAAAAUCUUUUACAUGUAACAUCAAAUUACAAAAUUAUCAACUUGCUUUUAAUUAUUUGUUAAUUGUUAAUGAAUGUAAUAAAUUUUAUUGUAAACAUAACAUUUAUCUAAACAUAAACUUGCUCUUAAACAUAUGAAAAAAUAAAUAAUUUUACACAUUCAUUCCUUUUUAUGCAUGAUUUUAUACCAUGUUAUAUACAAAAUUGUGAACAAACCAAACAAUGAACAAGCAAUAUGGUGAAGAAAUGAAAAACACCAUGGAAAACAUUUCAAAGAGAAAAAUCACUACAGAGCAACCUACCAUGACCAACAAAGGAAUUCAUAAUAAUAAGAGAAGUUUAACAAUGUAGUAUAAAACUUUUAUACCGACUCUACUUGCUAGAUAAACUCACUAUAAAAACCUUCUACAAUUUCAAAACAUUUGGUAUCUCCCUUAUAUGGAUGCCUUCACAAAUGACUCGCUUGCACUUCACAACUAAAACCUCCUACUGACUCCAAAACCUCUUGAAAAGUUUCUUCACCAUAUUUUUACUAGGCUUCUAGAUCUAAACUUUGAUUAACUCAAAUACACCAUCGCAGUAUUUAGUUUUCAAUCUCUAAGUUUGCAGGGUGUACAGGAUUUGUCUUGGAUAAUUCCUCAAUAUGGUUCAUAGAAAAGUGAAGUCAAAGUAUAACAAUUACUUUUAUGAUCUAUAUUUCCUCAAUAUGUAAACAUUUGAUAUCUCAACUUUUACAUAUGAUUUCUCAAUAAUUGAAGUCAGCUUGCACUUCACAACUAAAACCUCCUACUGACUCCAAAACCUCUUGAAAAGUUUCUUCACCAUAUUUUUACUAGGCUUCUAGAUCUAAACUUUGAUUAACUCAAAUACACCAUCGCAGUAUUUAGUUUUCAAUCUCUAAGUUUGCAGGGUGUACAGGAUUUGUCUUGGAUAAUUCCUCAAUAUGGUUCAUAGAAAAGUGAAGUCAAAGUAUAACAAUUACUUUUAUGAUCUAUAUUUCCUCAAUAUGUAAACAUUUGAUAUCUCAACUUUUACAUAUGAUUUCUCAAUAAUUGAAGUCUAGUAUAACGAUUACUUCUAUACUUAAAGUAGGUAAGGCAUGAAAUUUUGAACUAACAGUUGACCUUAGUAAUUAACUAAUAUGUAACCUGUGCUUAUGUAUUGGAAUGGUGAAUUGUAGUGGUACUAUUAAUGUUAGUUUGGUUUAUUAAACAUAUAGGACAUUAGUUUGACUAAGAUAUUUUGAGAUAUUAAAAUGAUUUUUCAUUGCAAUUUUUAUGAUAUUAGUUACAUCAAGUUUUUAAUUACACUACUAUUACGUAUAUAAUUUUGAAAAAUCACUAUUAGAUACUAUGUAUACAUAUCAAUUCACAAUCACUGUCUGUGAAAUUCUACCAAAUACAACACAAAAUAAAAGAAUAAAUUUAUUCAAUAGUAUCUCCUAAAUUGAAUGGAGAUAAGUGCAUAGGAUUGUUCAGCUCAACUACAAUUGUAAUGUCCAAGAUCUUCGCAUACAAAAUAUCUGAAUAGAAAUAAUAAUAAAAAAUAUGCUCAUUAUUUUAAAGAAAAAAUAACAGCAAAAAUCUAAACAAUCUAAUUUAUAUGAAAAGUUAAACAAAAGCAAAAUCCAAUUUUGAUUAAUUAGAUUUUCUCUAAGUUUCGUCUUUAUAUAUAUAUAUAUAUAUUAGUUACACAAAAAAAUGUCUUAUAAAUAUAAAAUUAUUCAAACUCUCUAUUCCUCUAAUUUUAUUUAUAGAAUUAGAUAUAUGAUUAGGUUUUUUAUGAUCGGUUUUACUAACAUAUACCCUUAAGGCAUACAUUAAUAAAUCAUUGUAAGAAAAUUUUUAUGGGAAAAAGAAAAAAGGGACUAACUUUUUUGACAAUUUUUUUAAUUUUCCAUAUAAAAGUUUCCUAAAAUGAAUAAUUAAUAUAUACCCGAAGGGUCCUUUUUAUAAUUUAAUUAUAUUAGACUUCUAUAUAUAGAUAACUCAUCAAUCCUGAUUCUCAAUUGAUCGAGCCUCGAUCAAGGGAUAAUUGAACUUCAAUCAAUUAUAGGUCGAUCGAAGAGUAGUCAAAUCUUCAUAAAUUAUUUUAUUAAGCUACUUUUUGUACAAAUAGUCUUAAACUUGAUGAAAAUGAAUGAAUUGAUUAAAACACAUUUGACCGUUACAUUGUCAAUGAAUUUUCUAACUUUAAACAUGUAUUGAGGGUAUUUUGGUGCUUUUUGGUGGAUAUUUACUCAUUUUAGAGUGUUUGCAAUAUUUUUGUUAUUUGAAGGGCUCCAGGGAAUUUUGAAAGUUCCAAGUAUUUUGAUUAUUUUUAGAUUUUUCAAAAGUAUUUUAGUCAUUUUAUAGUUGUUUGGUGCAAACACUGGAAGUGGUUCAAAGAAAAUGUACAUUUUUUUAUUAGUAUUUUAUGCGUGCAACAAAUACCUAAAAGCAAUGAACUUGUUUUAUGAAAAACAUUCUAUGUUUAAACAAACAUAGCCUAAGUUUUUCCUUUUUACCAUUUAAUUUACUAAAAUUGCUAGCUUAUUAUUAAAUUAUUUCAUUUUUUUUUUCAUUAUAAAAAUGGUCCAACAAACUAAAAUGAAUCACAAACUACACCCUAAUUGUGAUGUGAAAGAAUAAUUCUAGGUGAUAGAUUGUGACUAGUUGCAUGUCACUUUUACAUGGACCAUUCACUUUUCCUUCAUCACUCAUAGCCUACUACAUCAUAGUAGUGGCAAAAUUGUGGCACAAAAGGAUGUGAUCCUAGAUUUGUUUGACCUGAAAACUCAUUUUUAAAUCUAACUUUGGAUUCGACGUACGGAAGAGUAGUGCUUAUAUGUAUAUAUUUCAAUAGUUAAGGUAAGAGAAUAUAAAUCUUGAAUCUCUUCAUUAAAAACACCAAGAAGUGCUAGUUGAGUUACAGGUCGCUUAGUUGAAUGAGUAAUGCUAUUAACAUAAAUUUUUUCAUUGCUCACAAUUGUUAAAUUGAUAAGUUAUUAACUUAUUAUUGAUUAUUUGACCAAUUACUCACACAAUUUUAUAUUCCACCAUUAAUAUCUUGUCAUUUUAGGCCGUAUUAACAUUUGUUUUGAAUUAUAUUGUUACUCUAUACUUAUUAUUCCAUAAGAAAACUAUAAACUCAUUAAUUUUUUUUUUUAAAUGACAAAGUUUAGCGAGUUGUAGCCUAGUGCUACAAUAUUACUCAAUAAAAUAAGUAUUACUACAUAUUUUAAAAAUCUAACUGUUGAAUUGUAUGUUCUUUACGUUUUUAAUACACAUGUCAAAUUUUUUGUUAAUCGGAUAUUAUUUACCGUAUGAUCUAUAAGUUUAUAUUUUAUAUAUAAUUUUAAACUAUUAAAAUUUGUAAUAAUUUAAAUAAUUUAUUAAUGACAUAACUAUUAAUUUUUAAUUUUUUAAAAAUUUUACAAGUAUAGUAGAAAUAAGAAGUAGAUAUAAUCUAGGCAUACUCUGUAAAAUAAAUAAAUAAAUAAGGCAAUUUCAAUUUCACUCAAAUGUAAAAGUUGUGGAUGGAGAGAUGAGCUCGAAAAAGAGUCCAAAAAGUUUGAAGUGCGGCUCAGUAAUAUAAAUACUCUCAAUUGAACCCGAGUUCUCUUUCACAUUUCAUACUCGCGCCUCUUCUUCACCAUAACCAAACCCUAAUAAAAACCCUAAAAAACAAAAACCAAAACCCAAAAAAAAAAAGAAAAAAGAGAGAGAGAGAGAAAGCGAGGUGUGAGAGAGAGAGAGCAAAGCACAGAGAAAUACCCAAAUUUCUCUCACUCACUCACUUUCUCCGAUCAUUUUCUCUUCGUUUCAGGUACUCUUUUCUCUUCAUUUCACUUCAAGAAUCAAGAUCGCCUUUACUCAUUUUCAAAACCCUGAUUUUUGUAAAUUUUUUUUGUGUAUUUUAGCUGUUGUAGGGUUUGAAUUUUGGCAUAUAAAAUGUAUGUGAAUUCAAGUUAGUGUCUCAAAAAAAGUAAAUUUUAUUUUUUUAAUUUACUGUUUUUGGUUUGAUUUGAUUUGAUAUGAUUUGAUUUCCAGAGAUCAAUUUAUUUCAAUGGCGGCUUUCGUCGAGCAGGCGGAGGUAGCUGUGGCCGUGGCCGUGGCCGCGACUCCGGGUGCUGAUGUUGUAUGUGUUGUUAUUGAUGCAUUUAGAAUGUUGUCAACAGUUAGUGUGUUGGGUUUUGUUUUGUGGGUUUUGAUUGGUUUUUGGUUAAAUUUCGUGGUGAAAUGUAGGUGGGCAAUGCUUUUGUUCACCAAUACUACCUUAUAUUGCAUCAAUCGCCAGAACUUGUUCAUCGGUUUUACCAGGAUGUUAGUAAGAUUGGUCGUANAAAAAAUUUUUUUUUUUUUUUUUUUUUUUUUUUUUUUUUUUAAGUUGUUACCCAUUUACUCUUGCCUUUUCAUUUUUUUCAUUUUUCUCAAGCCCAAGAAAGUGAGAUAACUAGAUAUUGAAUAAUACUACAAAUAAAAUAUGUUUUACAAUAUUUUUUAAAACAGUUGAGUAAACAAAUUUUUAUUAGUUCUCAUAAAAACCUACAAUUAACAUUACUUUUUUAUUUACAAUAACAAUCAGCCACUCUCACCUAAUGUGAAAAAUUUUGUGACAUAGAUUUAUUGAUAGAGAUACUAUUUAAAACCAAAUGAUAAUGUCUCCUAUAGAAUCUGAGAUGUGUCCUCCACAUAAUGGACACAAAUAUGAAUAGAAAAAUAUUAUUAUCUAAGCAAAUAUAACUAUAAUUGGACAUUUUAUGAGCCAAUAUACUAUGGGCCAUGGCUAAGGAAGGCCUCUUUGCUUGCAAAAGAAAAAAACGAAUCUGGUCUCCUUGGAGGGCGAUACCCUAGAUUAGACAGUUGGACUUUUGUGUUUAUUUCACAUGUUUGUAAGACUCCAUAAUAUGGCCCAGUGGGACCACCAUCCAUAUGUCAGUCCAUUCUCCAUGGGCCAUGGCCUCCUUUCUAAUUAGCUGAGAGAUAAAAUCAUAGAAAAAGUUGCGGCAUUCCCUCCUCCUUGUUUUGAUUAACAAAAUUGUCUUUAUAAAAAAAUUUGGAUGUUUUAUGAGAGAAUCCUGAUGUGCCCUUGUUUUGCUUUCAAAAACAAAAUAAAAGAGUUCUAUGAUUCUAUCCUUUAAUAAUAACAUUUUUAUAAAUGACUCAUUUUUUUUGUACUAAUACUAUAUGUGGAGGUGGGGAGUUGAACCUACAAACCCUAAUUAAUACAAACUAUCCAAGGGUAAUGAUUGAACACAAUGGAUAAACAUAGUGACCGAACAAAGCCAAUUAUUGCAUUGAAUUUUAUUAGAUUUGUUCCAUUUGUUUGUAUCUUGGGACUAUCAUUCUGACACACAUCUUGUUAAGUAAAUUGAGAGGACAAUUAGUUAGUAGGUCUACUAUUAGAUCUUAGAUCGAUUUUCUACUAAAAACCUCUCCCUCAUGCUCUAUAAAUAGCCCUUCAUUCAACAUAACAAAGUAUGUUUUUCAAGCUCUAUGCACUGUAACUCUUUCAUUUUUUUCACUUCUUUAUUGAUUUUCUAACUUAACUAUCGGAGCCUCCCUGACCAUCUCCCUCUUUCUGGGUGGUCUUGGUUGGUCUAAGACCUUCUUUAAUAGUUUAUUGGUUCAAUCAAGAAAAUUCAUCACAAUUCAGUUGAAUUGUUUAUUACAGUCCCAUCGUGUCCACCAAAUUUCACCCACCCACACUAUUUGUACAAGCAAGUCUAACAUUACUAAGACUAAUGAGCUAAGUUAUAUAAUGUUCAAGUUCAACACCAAAGAACACAAAUGACGAAGUAGGAAGUUUUUUUGUCCAAACUCUGCAGGGUCAAAAUCUGCCCAAGCUUGAACCAACUUCCAAAUAAGUAGAAUAGUAGCCAAACUUGAGCAGCUCAGAUAAUUUUACAAGCUGAACCUGUCAUUGUAAAGAUAAAGAAUUUAACUGUACUAGUUGGAUGGACUUUUGCGUGUGUAAAUCAAAUGAGAAACCUAACGAAAAAUGUUGUAAAAACGAGACACCAAGGGUUUUCAACUUUCCAUUGUCAAAGAAUGAGCAUAAGCCAACAACAAGAAAAGGAGCAACUGUCCAAAUGAUGUUUUGCCUUUGAUGAUCCUAAACCAUUAGGUCGGCUGCCAAUAAUGCUACAGAGUACAGAUUACUUUUCUCACAACAAAAUUCAUAAUUGCUGAGCUAGUCGGCUGUGAAUGGUGGAUGCAAUUGUGAAUUUUUGUUGUAGAAAAACGUUGAGUUUAUAUUAUUUCUGGGUCUGCUACUGAAGUCUACCGAGCUACAUCAAUUGCUUAUCACCAUCUUAUUCUAAUCCAUGAGAAAUAGAAAGGAAAAACACCAUAUUUACCGCUCUUCAAUUCUUCCUCUCAAGACUGGUUCUCAAAUUCUAGGGAGUAAUUUCAAAAUAAUGAAUAGUUGGGUCUCAAAUUCUAGGGAGUUAUUUCAAAAACACCAUAUUUGCCACUUUUCAAUUCUCUCUCAAGUGUAGGUCUUAAACAUGACUAACGGUCAAGAUAAAAUAUCAUUUUCAUGCCACAUAGAUUGCCAUAUAUACCGCCACAUUAACAACUAAAAAAAAUACCUACAUAAAAAUGAGAAAUGCUAGUGCCACAAAAUAUUUCACAACUUUUACCACAAUCCGUCAUGUGACAAAAUUCCUAACCAAAAGCAUGAGAGAGAGCUUCUAAAAGCACUGAUCAACGUAUUCAUCUUCAACUUCAUCUUCAUCAACUACAGCUUCUGAAAGCGAAUAGAGGUAAGAAUUAGUGCAUAAAUGAAUUAAAUGUGAGUUCAAAGUGAGUAAAAAGGAAGGGAAAAAUAGAAAAUAUAGAAAUUAAAAAGAAAGAGAACGAAAGCAGAGAAUAAAGGAAGAGAGCCGAACAGGCACGUACCUCAACCAACCCAUGAAGCAAAAUUCGGGUCAUGGGUCUGUACUCUGAAGUUUCCAAUCUCAGCAGAAGCCCACAAUUCCAAUCUGAAAAGCGACUUGAAAAAAAACCCGGCGAAUGGUUUGUUUGGUUUCCACGAUUUUUGUUUGAUUAUUUUUUAUUAAAUAUUGGGGUUCUUUCUUUUUUUUCCACAGCGGCUUUUAUUUUUUUUUUUUUUAACUAGUAGAAAAAAUAAUAUCAACUAAAUUUUUAUUUAGGAGUCAAUGAAAAUAACACAAAAAAGAAUCAACAUUUAUCAUUUAUCAUUUAAUGGCAUAGACCAUUUUGAUACGAUAUCAGAAGGUUACAGGCUAAAUUAACAUAUUUAAAAUGUUAAGGACUAAUUUGAUACAGCAUAAAAGUUUAGUAUCAAAUUUGUAAUUUACCCUGCAUUAAUUUGUUAGUCCUAAAUUCUAAAUCACGUCACUCAAUUUGUAAUUUUUUUUUUUUUUUUUAAGAUCCUUUGUAAUUUUUUUUUUUAAGAUCCAAAAUUCCAACUGGGUAACUCUAUAUUUAAAAUUUUUGAUAACUUUUAUUUUAUUUAAAAAAUAAAAUUUUUUAUAACUUUGUUUAAGAGUAAUUUUGGAACCUUCUAUCUUUAAGUGAUGUUCCAUUAAAAAUUUGAGUUUUCUAAACAUGACCAACAAUUAGAGACGGAUGGAGAAAAAAUUUUAAGCUAAAGUGCAAAUUGCACCGGCUAAGUUUAACUUAAAUUUAAUCCAGUUUUCUAACUUUACUUGUGUUCAAUUGAGUUUUAUAAGUUUCAAAUUUAUUUAAUUCAAGCUUUUUGUUCAAUUUUAUUAAAAAUUUGCCAUUAAAAAAGUUUUUUUUUUCACAUGAAAAAAAAAAAUCUAUAAAAUUAAUUAAAAAAAAUUUAUGUGAGGAUUUUUUUUUUCAAAAAAACUUUUUCAUGUAGUUAAAUGCGCACUUAACAGAAUUUUUUUUAAAAUAAAGAAAUUGGACAAAAAACCUAAAUUAAAUAAAUUAAAAACUUAAAAGCUCAAUUGAAUUUUAGUUAAAUUUAAAAUGUGUAAUUUGUAGUUUAGCCUAAAUUAUAGAUUAAGGGUUUAUUUGAGAAAAACGAAUUUAGCUAAAACUAAAUUUUUUUUUUUAAAAGUAUAUAAAAAUAAAUAAAUAAAAAUAAAAAGUUAAAAGCUAACUGAAUAGAACAAUAAAACUCAUAAAUAGUACCAAAAAAUGCAAUAAGACCCACAAAUAGUACCAAAAAGAAGCUAAAAACUCAAAUAAACUGAAUUUUUUUAUCACAUUCCAAACAAACUCUAAAUAUUGAUAUGUAACUUGUAAGAUAUCUUUCAUUUUCAUUUAUUUAAUUACUUGUGUUUUAGUUUUAACUUGCCUUUUAGUUUUAACUUUAGCUUCGUUAAAGGAAUAUAUAUAUAUAUAUAUAUGGUAGAUAGAGCCUUUUCAAUUUAUAAUGAAUUUUUAAGUUUUAUGUUAGGACUUUCAGAUAAAUCAAGGAGAUGCGACAAAAAUAAUAAUGACUAAUGACAAAUAUAUAUAUAUAUAUAUAUAUAUAUAAAAGCAUGUGAAGAUGAAGGUCAUUAAAAAAUAAGAACUAUACUAGUUGCACAAAUUGUACCAUAGAUGAGUUGUAAAUAGUAGAGGGAUGAUAGUGAGAACACCUCUCUACCAUUCACAACUCGCCAUGUGGGCGAGUUGUGACACAAGCAUAACUCAAAAAAUAAACCAUUAUUUCCUCUCAUAAUUAGCUGGUCUGGCCCUCCAUUAUUGCACUGAUUUAAAGUCACUUGAAAGAAAAUAUAUAUAUAUAUAUAUAUAUAUAUAAAUCAAAAUCAAAAUCAAAAAACCAAAAAAAAAAAAAAAAAAAAAAUAUAUAUAUAUAUAUAUAUAUAUAAAUCAAAAUCAAAAUCAAAAUAAAAUUAAAAAAAAAAAAGACAAAUAAGCAAACGUGGGAUAUAUGAUUGGCCUGCAUGCAUAAUGCAUUAUUGUUUGUGAAAUUUUAUUUAUUUAUAUAGUAAAUUGGGGAGCUUUAAUUUAGUAGUAAUUUUAAUUUAUAAUAAUGGCAUUCAUGCUGAAAAAUGAAAAUUACAAAAGUUUCUCUCUAGUCUAGUGGUCUACACCUGAGACUAAUUAAUUAAUUAAAACCAAAUGGCCGACCGACUAAAAUCCCAUUGUCCUCAACGUAUCAGACAAUCUCCACCUCCACUUUUAAUUUUUUCCAUAGAUAUUCAACUUCUUCCUAAACCAAAAACGUCAAUAGUAAUUAAGCCAUGUUGAAGCCGGAGAGGAACCCAUUUCCUUUAGUUUUGAAAUUCUACCUAUCCUUACUUCUUGUUCCUUAUUGUUUAUCUGCAGAAGCACCCAAAGGCUCAGACCACAUCACUUCUUGUUUAACUCAUCAUAACAUUAAAAAUUUCACCACACUCCCUGGCACCGGCCAUGGUGGCGUAGAAAACGAUCAGUCAUCAACAGCAUACUAUGAGCUCCUCAACUUUUCCCUUCAAAAUCUGAGGUUCGCGGAGUCCACGAUUCCUAAGCCAAUAGCCAUUAUACUGCCAGAGACUGUCGACCAGCUACUGCACACUUUGAUUUGCUGUAGAGAAGGGUCGUUGGAAAUUAGAGUAAGGAGUGGUGGACACAGUUAUGAAGGGACUUCGUACGUUGCUACUGAUGGAGCUCCAUUUGUCAUUAUCGACAUGAUGAAUUUGAAUCGAGUUUUGGUGGAUUUGGAAACUGAAACAGCCUGGGUAGAGGGGGGAGCCACACUAGGUGAGACUUACUAUGCCAUUGCUGAGUUAAGCAAAGGUAGUCAUGGAUUCUCAGCUGGGUCAUGCCCCACCGUAGGGGUUGGUGGGCAUGUUGGAGGUGGUGGGUUUGGCUUUUUGUCCAGGAAAUAUGGACUUGCAGCUGAUAAUGUGGUGGAUGCACUUCUUAUUGAUGCUAAUGGAAGGUUGUUAUCCCGGGAAGAUAUGGGAGAGGAUGUGUUCUGGGCAAUUAGAGGAGGUGGUGGUGGAGUUUGGGGGAUUGUGUACUCUUGGAAAAUCAAAUUGUUGAAAGUGCCACCAAUCGUGACUGCUUUCAUAGUCUCUAGACCAGGCACCAAAAGCCAUAUAGCAGAGUUAGCACACAAGUGGCAAUACGUUGCACCCUACUUGGAAGAUAACUUCUAUUUGUCAUGCUUCGUCGGUGCUGAUCUGCCAGAAGCUGUAAGUCCAGGAAUAUCAGCUACGUUUAAUGGGUUUUAUCUGGGUCCUAGGAGCAAAGCCAUAUCCAUUCUAAACCAGGUGUUUCCUGAGUUGGGCAUUGCAAAAGAAGAUUGCAAGGAAAUGACUUGGAUUGAAUCAAUUGUAUUCUUCUCUGGCCUAAUCAAGGACAGCUCAGUCUCAGACAUGAAAAAUAGGUAUCUGGAAGACAAGGGAUAUUUCAAGGUCAAAUCUGACUAUGUGAGAACUCCAAUUUCUAUUAUGGGCUUAAGGGCUGCCCUGGACACACUUGACAAGGAGCCCAAGGGUCAUGUCAUCUUAGACCCUUAUGGUGGGAUUAUGCAAAAUAUAAGCAGUGAAUACAUCCCUUUUCCACAUAGAAAAGGCAAUCUUUUUUCCAUUCAGUAUAUAGUGACUUGGAAAGAAGAAGAUAAUUACAGAAGCAGCGAGUACAUAGAUUGGAUAAGAGGAUUUUAUGAUUCAAUGGCACCAUUUGUUUCAAAGGGUCCCAGGGCUGCUUAUGUUAAUUACAUGGACUUUGACCUUGGAGUGAUGAAAUUGGUUAAUGCUAGUGUUCAAACAGAGGAUGCUGCAGAGAUUGCCAGGCUAUGGGGAGAAAAGUACUUCUUGAAAAAUUACGAUAGACUAGUUAGAGCCAAGACACUUAUUGAUCCGAAUGAUGUCUUCCAUAAUCAACAAGGUAUUCCUCCAAAUCCCCAACCAAUUUCAAAGCAAAUAUAUAAAGAGUGA
rnacentral:sRNA from 1 species